AGCGAACGCUGGCGGUAGGCCUAACACAUGCAAGUCGAACGGCAGCACAGUAAGAGCUUGCUCUUACGGGUGGCGAGUGGCGGACGGGUGAGGAAUACAUCGGGAUCUACUUUUUCGGGGGGGUUAACGAAGGGAAACUUAAGCCAAUACCGCAUACGACCUACGGGUGAAAGCAGGGGAACUUCGGACCUUGCGCGAUUGAAUGCGCCGAUGUCGGAUUAGCUAGUUGGCGGGGUAAAGGCCCACCAAGGCGACGAUCCGUAGCUGGUCAGAGAGGAUGAUCAGCCACACUGGAACUUGGACACGGUCCAGACUCCUACGGUAGGCAGCAGUGGGGAAUAUUGGACAAUGGUCGCAAACCUGAUCCAGCCAUACCGCGUGGGUGAAGAAGGCCUUCGGGUUGUAAAGCCCUUUUGUUGGGAAAGAAAAGCAUCAGGUUAAUACCCCGCUGUUCUGACGGUACCCAAAGAAUAAGCACCGGCUAACUUCGUG
rnacentral:rRNA from 1 species